UACAGAGGGGGCAAGCGUUUGUUCGGAAUUACUGGGCGUAAAGGGCGCGUAGGCGGCCUUUCUAAGUCGAACGUGAAAUCCCUGGGCUUAACCCAGGAACUGCGUCCGAUACUGGAAGGCUUGAAUCCGGGAGAGGGAUGCGGAAUUCCAGGUCGUAGCGGUGAAAUGACGUAGAUAUCUGGAGGAACACCGGUGGCGAAGGCGGCAUCCUGGACCGGCAUUGACGCUGAGGCGCGAAAGCCAGGGGAGCA
rnacentral:rRNA from 1 species